rnacentral:snRNA from 1 species
AUACUUACCUGGAAGGGGAAAUACCAUGAUUACGAAGGUGAUUUGAGGUUAAUCCAUCGCACUCCGAAUUUGGGGAAACUCAACUGCAUAAUUUGUGGAUGGGGGAACUACUCCCUG